GAUGAACGCUGGCGGCGUGCUUAACACAUGCAAGUCGAACGGAAAGGCCCAAGCUUUCUUGGUUACUCGAUUGGCGAACGGGUGAGUAACACGUGGGGGAUCUGCCCUUCACUUCGGGAUAAGCCUUGGAAACUGGGGCGAAUACCGGGGAGGACGAUGUUUUGGGUGCGAUUGUGGAAAGUUUUUGCGUUGUGGGAUGAGGUCGCGGCCUAUCAGCGUUUUGUUGGGGUAAUGGCCUACCAAGGCGUCGACGGGUAGCCGGCAUGCGAGGGUGUAGGGCCACAUCGGACCCCAGAUACAGGCAAGAGUCCGACGGGAGGCAGAAGUGGGGAAUAUCGGACAAUGGGCGCACGCCUGAUGCAGGGACGCCGCGUGGGCGUUGACGGCUGUUGGGUUGUAAACACCUUUCGCUAGGGACGAAGCGUUUUUGUGACGGUACCUGGAGAAGAAGCAACGGCUAACUACGUG
rnacentral:rRNA from 1 species